rnacentral:tRNA from 2 species
UGGGGAUUGGUGUAACGGUAGCACGACUGACUCUGACUCAGUUAGUCUAGGUUCAAAUCCUAGAUCCCCAG